UUUGAUCCUGGCUCAGAUUGAACGCUGGCGGCAGGCCUAACACAUGCAAGUCGAGCGGCAGCACGGGAAGCUUGCUUCCUGGUGGCGAGCGGCGGACGGGUGAGUAAUGCAUAGGAAUCUGCCCGGUAGUGGGGGAUAACCUGGGGAAACCCAGGCUAAUACCGCAUACGUCCUACGGGAGAAAGCAGGGGCUCUUCGGACCUUGCGCUAUCGGAUGAGUCUAUGUCGGAUUAGCUGGUUGGUGAGGUAAUGGCUCACCAAGGCGACGAUCCGUAGCUGGUCUGAGAGGAUGAUCAGCCACAUCGGGACUGAGACACGGCCCGAACUCCUACGGGAGGCAGCAGUGGGGAAUAUUGGACAAUGGGCGCAAGCCUGAUCCAGCCAUGCCGCGUGUGUGAAGAAGGCCCUCGGGUUGUAAAGCACUUUCAGUGGGGAAGAAAGCCUGGUGGUUAAUACCCGUCAGGAAGGACAUCACCCACAGAAGAAGCACCGGCUAACUCCGUGCCAGCAGCCGCGGUAAUACGGAGGGUGCGAGCGUUAAUCMGAAUUACUGGGCGUAAAGCGCGCGUAGGUGGCUUGAUAAGCCGGUUGUGAAAGCCCCGGGCUCAACCUGGGAACGGCAUCCGGAACUGUCAGGCUAGAGUGCAGGAGAGGAAGGUAGAAUUCCCGGUGUAGCGGUGAAAUGCGUAGAGAUCGGGAGGAAUACCAGUGGCGAAGGCGGCCUUCUGGACUGACACUGACACUGAGGUGCGAAAGCGUGGGUAGCAAACAGGAUUAGAUACCCUGGUAGUCCACGCCGUAAACGAUGUCGACUAGCCGUUGGGUCCUUCGCGGACUUUGUGGCGCAGUUAACGCGAUAAGUCGACCGCCUGGGGAGUACG
rnacentral:rRNA from 1 species